GUUGUAUGGUUAAGUGACUAAGCGUACACGGUGGAUGCCUUGGCAGUCAGAGGCGAUGAAAGACGUAGUAACUUGCGAUAAGCCCAGAUUAGGUAGUAACAACCAUUUGAGUCUGGGAUUUCUGAAUGGGGAAACCCACUUACAUAAGUAAGUAUCAUUAACUGAAUACAUAGGUUAAUGAGGCGAACCGGGGGAACUGAAACAUCUAAGUACCCCGAGGAAAAGAAAUCAACCGAGAUUCCGAAAGUAGCGGCGAGCGAAAUUGGACUAGCCCUUAAGCUUUACACGCGUUAGACGAACGGUCUGGAAAGUCCGACGAUACAGGGUGAUAGUCCCGUAGUUGACGACGUGUGUUCAGUGAAAUCGAGUAGGGCGGGACACGUGAUAUCCUGUCUGAAUAUGGGGGGACCAUCCUCCAAGGCUAAAUACUACUGACUGACCGAUAGUGAACCAGUACCGUGAGGGAAAGGCGAAAAGAACCCCUGUGAGGGGAGUGAAAUAGAACCUGAAACCGUGUACGUACAAGCAGUAGGAGCACCUUCGUGGUGUGACUGCGUACCUUUUGUAUAAUGGGUCAGCGACUUAUAUUCAGUGGCAAGGUUAACCAUCUAGGGGAGCCGUAGGGAAACCGAGUCUUAACUGGGCGCUUCAGUCUCUGGAUAUAGACCCGAAACCAGGUGAUCUAGCCAUGGGCAGGUUGAAGGUUGAGUAACAUCAACUGGAGGACCGAACCGACUAAUGUUGAAAAAUUAGCGGAUGACUUGUGGCUAGGGGUGAAAGGCCAAUCAAACCUGGAGAUAGCUGGUUCUCCCCGAAAGCUAUUUAGGUAGCGCCUCGGACGAAUACUACUGGGGGUAGAGCACUGUUAAGGCUAGGGGGUCAUCCCGACUUACCAACCCUUUGCAAACUCCGAAUACCAGUAAGUACUAUCCGGGAGACACACGGCGGGUGCUAACGUCCGUCGUGGAGAGGGAAACAACCCAGACCGCCAGCUAAGGUCCCAAAUUACUACUAAGUGGGAAACGAUGUGGGAAGGCUCAGACAGCCAGGAUGUUGGCUUAGAAGCAGCCAUCAUUUAAAGAAAGCGUAAUAGCUCACUGGUCGAGUCGGCCUGCGCGGAAGAUGUAACGGGGCUAAGUAGUAAACCGAAGCUGCGGCAAUAUACUUUUGUAUAUUGGGUAGGGGAGCGUUCUGUAAGCGGUUGAAGGUGUGUGGUAACGCAUGCUGGACGUAUCAGAAGUGCGAAUGCUGACAUGAGUAACGAUAAAGGGGGUGAAAAACCUCCUCGCCGGAAGACCAAGGGUUCCUGUCCAACGUUAAUCGGGGCAGGGUAAGUCGACCCCUAAGGCGAGGCCGAAAGGCGUAGUCGAUGGGAAACGGGUUAAUAUUCCCGUACUUCUUACAAUUGCGAUGGGGGGACGGAGAAGGCUAGGUGGGCCUGGCGACGGUUGUCCAGGUUCAAGUGCGUAGGCUUAAGAGUUAGGUAAAUCCGGCUCUUUUUAAGGCUGAGACACGACGUCGAGCACCUACGGGUGUGAAGUCAUUGAUGCCAUGCUUCCAGGAAAAGCCUCUAAGCUUCAGAUUGUAAGGAAUCGUACCCCAAACCGACACAGGUGGUCGGGUAGAGAAUACCAAGGCGCUUGAGAGAACUCGGGUGAAGGAACUAGGCAAAAUGGUACCGUAACUUCGGGAGAAGGUACGCUCUUGAUGGUGAAGUCCCUUGCGGAUGGAGCUGACGAGAGUCGCAGAUACCAGGUGGCUGCAACUGUUUAUUAAAAACACAGCACUGUGCAAAAUCGUAAGAUGACGUAUACGGUGUGACGCCUGCCCGGUGCCGGAAGGUUAAUUGAUGGGGUUAGACUUCGGUCGAAGCUCUUGAUCGAAGCCCCGGUAAACGGCGGCCGUAACUAUAACGGUCCUAAGGUAGCGAAAUUCCUUGUCGGGUAAGUUCCGACCUGCACGAAUGGCGUAAUGAUGGCCACGCUGUCUCCACCCGAGACUCAGUGAAAUUGAAAUCGCUGUGAAGAUGCAGUGUACCCGCGGCUAGACGGAAAGACCCCGUGAACCUUUACUACAGCUUGGCACUGAACAUUGACCCUACAUGUGUAGGAUAGGUGGGAGGCUUUGAAGCACGUACGCCAGUAUGUGUGGAGCCGUCCUUGAAAUACCACCCUUGUAGUGUUGAUGUUCUAACGUCGACCCCUAAUCGGGGUUGCGGACAGUGCCUGGUGGGUAGUUUGACUGGGGCGGUCUCCUCCCAAAGAGUAACGGAGGAGCACGAAGGUGGGCUAAUCACGGUUGGACAUCGUGAGGUUAGUGCAAUGGCAUAAGCCCGCUUGACUGCGAGAAUGACAAUUCGAGCAGGUGCGAAAGCAGGUCAUAGUGAUCCGGUGGUUCUGAAUGGAAGGGCCAUCGCUCAACGGAUAAAAGGUACUCCGGGGAUAACAGGCUGAUACCGCCCAAGAGUUCAUAUCGACGGCGGUGUUUGGCACCUCGAUGUCGGCUCAUCACAUCCUGGGGCUGAAGUCGGUCCCAAGGGUAUGGCUGUUCGCCAUUUAAAGUGGUACGCGAGCUGGGUUUAGAACGUCGUGAGACAGUUCGGUCCCUAUCUGCCGUGGGCGUUGGAAGAUUGAAGGGGGCUGCUCCUAGUACGAGAGGACCGGAGUGGACGAACCUCUGGUGUUCGGGUUGUGUCGCCAGACGCAUUGCCCGGUAGCUAAGUUCGGAAUCGAUAACCGCUGAAAGCAUCUAAGCGGGAAGCGAGCCCUGAGAUGAGUCUUCCCUGAUACUUUAAGUAUCCUAAAGGGUUGUCGGAGACUACGACGUUGAUAGGUCAAGUGUGUAAGUGCUGUGAGGCAUUGAGCUAACUGAUACUAAUUGCCCGUGAGGCUUAACCAUACAACACCCAAGGGGUUU
rnacentral:rRNA from 1 species